GCUCUUUGUCUAACGCGUCAACGGUCAACCGCCGUUCAAAUCAAAGUUAUUAACGGACGCAGGACGCCGGACGCCGCCAGUAAGGGACAACACGGACGUCCCGCGGACUCGGACGGAUGGCCUGGAUCUUGCGUUUAACAGGCUUCAAGCCAUCCGCAGAUAUUUUGCACGACGGAAAAAGAUGUAACCGUUGAAGUUCUGCAGUUUGGGCAUCAAGAUCGGCGAUGCUGGCAUCGUAAAAUAAAAAAUUUUGUAGCUGUAAUAUGUGAUAUGGUUGAAAACUAAUAAAUUUUGCAUAUUUUGUACAUUAAA